CUAUGCAGACAUUGGAGUAUAUACUUGUCAAGCUAGUCUUACUGUUGAUGGAGAUGGUGUUCUGUUUAAUGGAACUGGAUCUGCUAAUACAACUGUUAGUAUAAGAAUACCAAUACCACAAGUGUCUAUUUCUCCUGAUGGUAAUUCUCCUUUUAUUCGUGGAACUGUUAGAACUGUUAGCUGUUUUGUUGUUUUCACUCCUCCUUUACCUACUAACCCUAAUGUCUCAUUUACUGUCUUCAAAGAUGAUGUUCAACUAUCA